UACAGAGGUGGCAAGCGUUGUUCGGAAUUACUGGGCGUAAAGGGCGCGUAGGCGGCCAUCUAAGUCAGACGUGAAAUCCCUCAGCUUAACUGGGGAACUGCGUCUGAUACUGGAUGGCUUGGAUUCGGGAGAGGAAUGCGGAAUUCCAGGUGUAGCGGUGAAAUGCGUAGAUAUCUGGAGGAACACCGGUGGCGAAGGCGGCAUUCUGGACCGAUAUUGACGCUGAGGAGCGAAAGCCAGGGGAGCAAACGGG
rnacentral:rRNA from 1 species